GAAAAGCUGUGGGGUAAACGUGUACAUGUUUUUUUUUUUUUGAGGAGGAAUAGUGGGUCUCCUAGAAACCUGGAGAUGCUGGGACCUCCUUGAGGAAGUCAGAGGGAAAUAUUCCUUGUUAAUUAAUUUGGAGGAGGAGAUGAAAAAUGAGAGGAGCAGAGGAGGAGCUCAGAGGGUGAAGUCUGAGAACUGGUUGAAGGCCUUUCUCUGAGAUGUGACCCUUCCUCGCAACCACUCUAAAUCUUUAAGAGAUGCAACAACAAUAUCAAACAUUUACACGCUGCAUGAUCACCUAAAGAUUUAAAGAACAAUGCUGCUAUGUGAUGGGACUCCACUGCAUGAAGCCUGAACUGAAUUCCUUCUCCUGGAACUGGCCUUUCUAUCCUCUGGCAAAACAAAAUCUAAAAAUGAAAAUACAUCGCUGUCACUGUACCUUGAAAAUAAGUUUCAAAUGUGUUUGAAAAUUUAAACUGCAAGCUGAGAUACAGCUUGAGGUGUUUUUCUUAAAUUGUUACUAAACUGCCUCUUCUCAGUGCAACAUCCAAUUACUGAGCUGUCUGCUGAAGUUAAGCAAGGUGAUGAUUGUACCUAAACAAUAAAUGCAUUUCGGCUGAAA